CAUUGGAGAAUCGCUGUUUGGACGCCUGCCAGUUCCACGAGCUCCCAACAAAAGUGAAGCAGUGCUUGAAAGAUCUCCAGAUCCAACAAAACGGGAAAACCUUGAUGGAGAACAAGAGGGAAGAACGGAGACAAUACAGAAGACAAAAAAGGCUGGCGAUAGCACUCGCUCCUCCUGUGGUUAUAACUGGAAGAAAGCUGAUGCAGCCCACCUCCAAGAGCUGUAAAGAAAGCAGAACCAGUUAAACAGAGGCUCUAGACUAAUUAAAGGAAGAAAGGCUCUCUCCAGCUCUGUUAUCCUCCUUCUCAACAGCUGAAACCAUCAAAAGAAGAAAGAAAAGGAAAAACAACUUCUCAACAGCAGAAAUCUUCAUCAAAGCCUUGUGUUUCCUCACUCUGCCAGUGGUCUCGUGUAAAUCAGGGUGGGCUCAAGCAUCAUCAUUGGUGCACUAGACUGACUGCUGCUCCUCUAUCCAAUCAGUGGAAGGGGGAGUUGACGUCUCUCUAAUGUGACUCAUGGAUGUUUCAAAUAUAUUCCGUGUCAAAUACCUCAUACUGACUGAAAUCUGAAGUUACUGUGUAUAAAUGUAUGAGGUAUUUGACCGGAAACCCUCAUCCUCCACAGACAGUAACUGUCCCAACUCAUUCAGGGUCCAGAAAGGUACCGUAAAUCUCCUCACACAGAACACGUCUUCAGUGGAUCAUUUAAAAUAUUAUCAAGUCAUGAGAAAAUGCACAUUUAUAAACACUUUAUUCAACAGUUUCUCCUCCUCAGUGUC